GUACCUGUAGCUCAGUUGGUAGAGCACUGGAUUGAAGAUCCGGGUGUCGGGGGUUCAAAUCCCUUCGGGUACACCA
rnacentral:tRNA from 1 species